rnacentral:lncRNA from 1 species
CCGUUUUUUAGCUCUGUAUGUAUCAGAUUUUGAGUGGCAUGAUCGAUUGAUGAUGCGGCGGAUCUGGUUCAAUCAAUAACCCUUCGAAAAGCAGAGCAUCCCGUGGGAGCCAGCUCACACAGGGAGAUGUCGACCUCUCACCAAACUGCCGCAGCCACUGGCUAGGGCUACUACCUCGCACUCUCCCUCUUAUAAACCCC